GUAGGUGGCAAGCGUUGUCCGGAAUUAUUGGGGCGUAAAGCGCGCGCAGGCGGUUCUUUAAGUCUGAUGUGAAAGCCCACGGGCUCAACCGUGGAGGGUCAUUGGAAACUGGAGAACUUGAGUACAGAAGAGGAAAGCGGAACUCCACGUGUAGCGGUGAAAUGCGUAGAGAUGUGGAGGAACACCAGUGGCGAUGGCGGCUUUCUGGUCUGUAACUGACGCUGAGGCGCGAAAGCGUGGGGAGCAAACAGGAUUAGAUACCCUGGUAGUCCACGCCGUAAACGAUGAGUGCUAAGUGUUAGGGGGUUUCCGCCCCUUAGUGCUGCAGCUAACGCAUUAAGCACUCCGCCUGGGGAGUACGGCCGCAAAGGCUG
rnacentral:rRNA from 1 species